UACGUAGGGGGCGAGCGUUGUCCGGAUUUAUUGGGCGUAAAGAGCUCGUAGGCGGUUGGGUAAGUCGGGUGUGAAAACUCAGGGCUCAACUCUGAGACGCCACUCGAUACUGCUCUGACUCGAGUCCGGUAGGGGAGCGUGGAAUUCCCGGUGUAGCGGUGAAAUGCGCAGAUAUCAGGAAGAACACCCGUGGCGAAGGCGGCUCUCUGGAACGCAACUGACGCUGAGACGCGAAAGCGUGGGGAGCAAACGGG
rnacentral:rRNA from 1 species